CAGCGCCCGGCGCCCCGCGCCCCCACCCCGUUCAUCGCCGACGAGCGCGGCCACCUCCUGCCGCACGUGGCCCGGUCCAAGGAGUCGCCGUGGGGCACGUUCCUGGGCACCUGGGAAAUGCCCCCCGCGCAUCCCCCCGGCCCGCCUGGACCUGAGCUCGCGUUCGCCCCGCGCCGCCGCCCCGCGUGAUCCAGGGCCAGCCCCGAGCCCUGCUCCGAGCCUGCAACGGGCUCCGCACCCGCGUCACCGGCAAGUUCCAGAAAUCCUGGGACACGGAACCUCCUGGAAAGGGCCAGGGGGGUCUCAGCGGGGCUUCCCCCCACCCUGAGGCCCCAAAUCCUGGGGACAACCCUGGGGGGGGACCCUGUCCCCAAAAUCCCCCUGGCUCUGGGGGCCCCCCCAGCUCCUGAGCCCCCGGGGGUGGCUUUGCUGUCAUUGUCCCCUCCCCUGGGGACAACCCCCCCCCAGAUCCCCCCUCAGGGGGCACAGAAGGGUCUGGACCUCCCCAAAAAAAGGGGAAAUAAAAGCUGGGAACUGCA